rnacentral:rRNA from 1 species
UAGGGAAUCUUCGGCAAUGGGGGCAACCCUGACCGAGCAACGCCGCGUGAGUGAAGAAGGUUUUCGGAUCGUAAAGCUCUGUUGUAAGAGAAGAACGUGUAUGAGAGUGGAAAGUUCACACAGUGACGGUAACUUACCAGAAAGGGACGGCUAACUACGUGCCCG